GCUGGGCACAGUGGUGCAAGCCUGUAAUCCCAGCAGCUUGGGAGGCUGAGACAGGAGGAUCACAGGUUCAAAGCCAACCUCCACAAACGUGAGGCUCUAAGCAACUCAGUGAGACCCUGUCUCUA
rnacentral:sRNA from 1 species